AUGAUAUUUGGUGCAACCAAAUGCAACCUUUGGGAAAUUUUUGGCAGCAUUUCCUAUAAAGCAUUAAACAUAUCAGGCUCAAUUAUCUCACAUUCUUUCUUUUCUCAGUUUUAUGAUUUUGGAAUUUUUUAAAUUCUCAAGAGCAUGAAAUUUCUGAGAAUUUUCAAAAAUCCAAUCGAUCUUAAUUGAAUCCACUCUUUUGUUUUUUGGGUCUUUGUUUGUUUUCUAAAUUCAGUUCCCUACUAAUCAUUUUCAGAUAUUCUCUACACACUAACCAAGUGAAUUGAAUUCACUCCCCACUUCCAAGAAUCUAACCUGUUUUUAAUCAGGUUGGCACAAUCAAGGUGGAAAGAAAGUCUGCUCAUAGUGUAGAAAUCCUUCUCGAACUGAAUGAACGCCUGGGCCUCGCCAACAUGGUCACCGUCCUUUGCAAGGCUCGAGUCAUCAAAGGAAAGAUUCUAAGUGUUCAACCAAUCAUAUACCAGCAACCGCAGGUGUGUCACCAGCAUUGAUCCGAUAGGAUGAGUUUGUGUCAACAAUGGGCUGAUAAACUCUAAGAGAUGACUAAUGAUUUUCAGUCUUUUAGACAACAGAUGGUCACUGGCUUUGGUGCUAAUACAUAUAGUGGCAUUCUGCACUA